UACGGAAGGCAGCAGUGGGGAAUAUUGCACAAUGGGCGCAAGCCUGAUGCAGCCAUGCCGCGUGUAUGAAGAAGGCCUUCGGGUUGUAAAGUACUUUCAGCGGGGAGGAAGGCGGUGGAGUUAAUAGCUUCACCGAUUGACGUUACCCGCAGAAGAAGCACCGGCUAACUCCGUGCCAGCAGCCGCGGUAAUACGGAGGGUGCAAGCGUUAAUCGGAAUUACUGGGCGUAAAGCGCACGCAGGCGGUCUGUUAAGUCAGAUGUGAAAUCCCCGGGCUUAACCUGGGAACUGCAUUUUGAAACUGGCAGGCUUGAGUCUUGUAGAGGGGGUAGAAUUCCAGGUGUAGCGGUGAAAUGCGUAGAGAUCUGGAGGAAUACCGGUGGCGAAGGCGGGCCCCUGGGACAAAGACUGACGCUCAGGUGCGAAAGCGUGGGGAGCAAACAGGAUUAGAUACC
rnacentral:rRNA from 1 species